GACAGAGGAUGCAAGCGUUAUCCGGAAUGAUUGGGCGUAAAGCGUCUGUAGGUGGCUUUUUAAGUCUGCCGUCAAAUCCCAGGGCUUAACCCUGGACAGGCGGUGGAAACUACCAAGCUGGAGUACGGUAGGGGGCAGAGGGAAUUUCCGGUGGAGCGGUGAAAUGCGUAGAGAUCCGGAGGAACACCGAAGGCGAAGGCGGCCCCCUGGGCCGAACCUGACGCUGAGGCGCGAAGGCUAGGGGAGCGAACGGG
rnacentral:rRNA from 1 species